AACAGCUCAAAUAAGCAAAGAGAAACAAAAGUCCAUCAUUAUUUUAGCUUUGGACAUUAGACCGGUGUAAAUCUUUCCUUUGGUCUGAUGAGUCCACAUUUGAGAUUCUUGGGACUAACAUACUCCUCAGAGGCAGCCCCAGAGCAGAAGGAACUCGUUCUACACAUCGCCUACAAUGACUAUAACAGCCUCUUGAUGAAUGGACUUUUGCCAGCCCUUGGUAAACAGGUUAAGAUGAGACAGUGCUGAUGGACGGGUUGGACGACAGACACCACAAGAUGGGUUCAGUGAGGUACAAUGUCCCUGGUCCAUGGAGAUGGACUGUCUCUUCUGGUUCUCUCAAGGACAACCAGGCUCAUAUCAAAGGCCUUCUCCCAAGGGACACACACACUACUUCAGCGGAAUAAUAUGCACGGUUGGUGGAAAAUGAAGAAGCUGAUACUUGCAUCUGGUGACUUGCAGCCGCAGGUGCAGCGUGAUGACUCAAUCACGAUUUAUGACAUUGUCUGGAUGGCUGACCAUAUAAUGGAUAUCAUAGGAGUCAAACACACCUUAUAUGUGGCUUCCUCUGGUGCGGGACAAUCCCACAGACCCUGAGAGCAUGGACACCGUUGGAGGGGUGAAGACAGAUUAAAACCUUAAUUGAGUAAAUUAAUAUUACUUUGUCAAUUAAAUUGGUUUGUUUGGUUUGUUUCAAGAGUUCUUAAAGCGCAGCACAUUUUUUUAUGUUCUAUUGUGCUGUGGGUGCUAUGGAUUUUUACUGUGUUAAUCAGUUCAAAGAGGGAGCGACACAGAUGUGCUCCUGUCAUGUAGAUAACAGUUGUGAUGAUCACAUUCAAGAAUGUGUCUGGUGUUUUUAUACCUUUGUUUAUUGUUUUGGCAAGCAAAGUGAUGUUAAUUAGACAAUGGGAGACACUGACAUUUGACUCUCUGGGAGAAUAAAAGAUGGAUUAAACCUUUGUUCAUGGUGUCAUUGUAAAACAAUCUCCUGGUGUAGGUUUCAUGACACUAUAGUGUGUUUUUAUACUUUUAAACGAAGAUGGUGUGUACCGUUUUGGUAUGUACCAUUUGAUAAUUGU